AUUAGCUUCUUUUUAAUUAAAGAAAAACAAAAAGAUUUUCCUUUUAAAAAGGUUAAGAUUCUUUACUUUUUUAGAAAGUUAUUUAAAUUUGGAAAGAUUUUUGAAUUACUGAUCAUCUAUUUCUUAAACUGCUGGUAGUACUCUCUUUAAGCAAUGGAAGAAGAGCCGAGCCAGUUUCCUUUUCCUUGUCCACUUGUAUCUUUCUCCGCAUCAUAAAAGGAGAGGUAAUUAGCCAGUAUUCUCCGAAGACGUUUUCAGAAGCUCUAAGUUCGUGAAGAAUCUUUACAAAUGUGCAGACUAUUUAAAUAGUAUCUGAACACCGGGGCAAGCAACCAUAUGUAUGAAGUAAAAAGUAUGUUUGUGGAGUUUGAUGAAUGAAUGAGUGACAAUGUAGCAUUUGGCAAGGAAUCCAAGGUAGAAGUAAAAGGAAGAGCUAGCAUUAUCAUUCGAAUAAAGAAUGGUAAGUACCAACUUAUUUCAAAUGUCUAUUAUGUGUCAAUUACAACUCUUAGAGAGAGGUGAUGACAUUCGAUUAAAAGAUAAUUGUCUUCGAAUAAGAGAUAAUGCAAGUAAUUUGAUUGCUAAGAUGUCAAUGAUAAAAAAUAGAAUGUUUGUGCUCAACAUUCAAAAUGACAUUGCAAAAUAUCUAAAAAUGUGCUACAAAGAUGUGUUUUUUUAUGUUAUAUUUCUUGGAGAGUGACCAAGUCAUCAUCUAGUCCUCAGUUAAAAAUACACGUUGUCCCAUUCGAGGACCUUUCGUUUGCUAGAAGGUUGUUUAAGGGAAUCAUUUAUCAUUCAAUAAGAUUUUACCAAGUUCCUGUGUGUAUAAAA